CAGGGGAAGAAUGGCCAGCCACACAGGAGGGUGAUGUUUACUAAGGAGGAGAAGGAGGCCGUGCUGACCGAGAUGCAUGCUGGCCAUUUUGGAGUGAAGCACAUGAUUGCCAAAAUCAACCUACUUUCUUCUGACGGGGAAUUGUCGAGGAGGUGAACAGCUGGGCAAGUGAAAUAACCUUUUGUUUAUCAAUCACAUUCUAUUAUAUCUGAAAUUAUGAUGAUUUCAAUUAAUAUAUCAGAGAGCACACAAUGUUUCAAUUUGUCACUUUUUGCUUAAAGGUCAGUACCCUGUCUAGCCUGCCAGAAGUUUGAGAGGGUGACUUACGGGACUAGACUGGCGUGGCCACCUCCAGGCGAUGAUGGACAUCUUCAACACCCACGGUUAUCUUGCGUGACCGAGUUCAUGAACACUGGAACAAGGUUUGGUGAAUGGACCAACCAGACUCUCAAGACUGCCAUGAGCAAGUCCAUUGACUGGUACCAAGAAGGUAAUUCUCUAUGAACACAACAGCAGCAUCCAGGCCUCUACCGAGUACAGAUGGGAACUGCAGCUGUUGACUGAGAUCACUGAAACCCCACCUGAUGUGGUGGAAGUUGUGGAACCAGAUCAGAACGCCUUCGAGGACCACCUUCAGGCACGGACUGAGAAGGAUGCAGAGGUUUUUGACUAGGUAAAAAUGAUUUGGUUGACAUUUGAGAAUGCAAGAAAUCAAUUUACCUCUCCAAAUGACUGUAGGACCAUCGACUGUCCAAGCCCCCAGGAGGUAUCCCAUCCACCAGAACCAGUGAGUUCGGAUCAGUCUGAUUUUAUGAGUUGGAGGGGGACCAGCUUGAGGACCUAGGGGUUCUGCCAAACACCCAGAUGUAGAUCCACCUGAUGUCCAUUACCAACCACCCUCCAACUUUUCAUUACAUCAUCUACAGCCACUGUUAUUGUCAUGUUGUUAUUAUCUGCUAAGAAAAUGUUCUUGUUCUAUCAUACAUAAUAUGUGAGAUACACAGAUUAACUAAAUACACUAGCACUGCAGACACUCGGAACAAAGAGAGCCGCAGUGCCUGGACUUUGCAGUCUCCUUCAAGUUCCCCUUCCGAGACUGGCUGCCUGUUGAGAACAAGUGACAGGCAGCAACCAACUCCUCAAAAUUCCACACACCAGAAUUCAGUAUUUUAAUCUGAUUGCCAUGUGAGUGUACAAAAACAUUUGAAAAUAAUGACACACCUGUACCAAAAAAUAUCAAAGUUUAUGUAUUACAAUCUUAAAUAUUGCCAGGUUGGUUUUCACAGCUGUUUCACAAGGUGUUCAUUAUUGUCAGUUGUAUCCUUUGAUGCUCUUUAUUUGUUCCACAUGAUUCAUGGUUGUGUCCUAGGACCUACAAUAGAUACAUAUAUAUUCAACCACAAGGGUGUACUAAUGAGCUAUGAUAAUUCCUUUUAUCAUAAGAAGACUACUGAAAUUCUAUUAUUUCAGUGUAGAUAAGGGAAGGGCAGGUUAAAACAAAAACAUGACAGCCAGACAAGCCAGUGUAUGAAUCAAACGGAUUUGCAUAUGAUUGGAGUGGAAAUUAGUUGACUUCGUGAUCUGUAAGGUAAGUAACUUUAAUGUGUCAAGCAGAUUGCAGUGUUUAAGACAUGGAUUUCAUGUUGUAAUGUUAACAAGGU